CAGUAGCCGCGGGAAUACGGAGGGUGCAAGCGUUAAUCGGAAUUACUGGGCGUAAAGCGCACGCAGGCGGUUUGUUAAGUCAGAUGUGAAAUCCCCGAGCUUAACUUGGGAACUGCAUUUGAAACUGGCAAGCUAGAGUCUUGUAGAGGGGGGUAGAAUUCCAGGUGUAGCGGUGAAAUGCGUAGAGAUCUGGAGGAAUACCGGUGGCGAAGGCGGCCCCCUGGACAAAGACUGACGCUCAGGUGCGAAAGCGUGGGGAGCAAACAGGAUUAGAGACCCGCGUAGUCCCUGUCUCUUAUAC
rnacentral:rRNA from 1 species